CCUACGGGAGGCAGCAGUAGGGAAUAUUGCGCAAUGGGCGAAAGCCUGACGCAGCAACGCCGUGUGUAGGAUGAAGCAUCUAGGUGCGUAAACUACUGUCAGCAGGGAAUAAAUUGACUGUACCUGCAGAGGAAGCACCGGCUAACUACGUGCCAGCAGCCGCGGUAAU
rnacentral:rRNA from 1 species